rnacentral:lncRNA from 1 species
UUCCAUAACAUCAAAAAUUCAUAAAUAUAAAUAUAGUUUAAACUUGAACAGCAAUUUAAAUUCAUAGAUAUGUUUAAACUAGAACAUCACAUUAUACAUGAACAUGUGCAACUUCUUCCCUAUUCUCGACUGGUUCAGGGUUUACAACAUGACUCUGGAAACCAGCAGACUGAGAACCAGUGGGUUGGGUCCCAUAAGAAAGCCCACUUGAUGUUAUUGGUGGUCGAGUCGAGUCAUCUACAAUAGCAAAACACAAAAUGAUUAGCUCAUGUAUCGAAGGUUUGCACUUUAAAACAUCGAAAGUGCUUCUGACCUAGAAUAAGAUAUAAUUGUAUUGUAGAAUCUAUUAAAUUUAUCUAAGAGCACAGUUCUAAAGAACUUAAAAUAAUUAAAUCCAAAGAUUGUAUUGUUGUUUAAGAAAUUGGUGAAGCACACGAUUCAAAGCGAACAUUGAUAGCAAGUUUCUAAUCUUUCAACCUAUACGAGUUUGAUGAUAUAUUACAAACAAGAAACCCAUAAAUAAUAAGAAUUAAAGGUGACGGAAAACAAACCUUGGAACACCACUAGAUCCGGCAAGAGGAAAAGUUUCGAGAGGGUUUCUGUGAGAUUAC